AUUGAACGCUGGCGGCAUGCCUUACACAUGCAAGUCGAACGGCAGCACGGGUGCUUGCACCUGGUGGCGAGUGGCGAACGGGUGAGUAAUAUAUCGGAACGUACCUUAUUGUGGGGGAUAACGCAGCGAAAGCUGUGCUAAUACCGCAUAAUCCCUAAGGGGGAAAGCGGGGGACCGUAAGGCCUCGCGCAAUUAGAGCGGCCGAUACCUGAUUAGCUAGUUGGUGAGGUAAAGGCCCACCAAGGCAACGAUCAGGAGCUGGUCUGAGAGGACGAUCGGCGACACUGUGACUGAGACACGGCCCCGGCUCCUACGGGAGGCAGCAGUGGGGAAUUUUGGACAGUGGGGGCAACCCUGAGCCAGCAAUGCCGCGUGAGUGAAGAAGGCCUUCGGGUUGUAAAGCUCUUUUGUCAGGGAAGAAACAGCAGCUCUAACACAGUUUGCGAAUGACGGUACCUGAAGAAUAAGCACCGGCUAACUACGUGCCAGCCGCCGCCGUAA
rnacentral:rRNA from 1 species